rnacentral:rRNA from 1 species
UUGAUAACAUUUGAGUGAGUGGCGGACGGGUGAGUAACACGUGGGUAACCUGCCUCAAGGCUGGGGAUAACAUUUGGAAACAGAUGCUAAUACCGCAUAACAACUUGGACCGCAUGGUCCGAGCUUGAAAGAUGGCUUCGGCUAUCACUUUUGGAUGGUCCCGCGGCGUAUUAGCUAGAUGGUGGGGUAACGGCUCACCAUGGCAAUGAUACGUAGCCGACCUGAGAGGGUAAUCGGCCACAUUGGGACUGAGACACGGCCCAAACUCC